rnacentral:rRNA from 1 species
UGGGGAAUAUUGGACAAUGGGCGCAAGCCAGAUCCAGCCAUGCCGCGUGAGUGAUGAAGGCCCUAAGGUUGUAAAGCUCUUUCACCGGUGAAGAUAAUGACGGUAACCGGAGAAGAAGCCCCGGCUAACUUCGUGCCAGCAGCCGCGGUAAUAUGAAGGGGGCUAGCGUUGUUCGGAUUUACUGGGCGUAAAGCGCACGUAGGCGGACUAUUAAGUCAGGGGUGAAAUCCCGGGGCUCAACCCCGGAACUGCCUUUGUUACUGGUAGUCUUGAGUUCGAGAGAGGUGAGUGGAAUUCCGAGUGUAGAGGUGAAAUUCGUAGAUAUUCGGAGGAACACCAGUGGCGAAGGCGGCUCACUGGCUCGAUACUGACGCUGAGGUGCGAAAGCGUGGGGAGCAAACAGG